UACAGAGGUCUCAAGCGUUGUUCGGAUUCAUUGGGCGUAAAGGGUGCGUAGGUGGCGCGGUAAGUCGGGUGUGAAAUUUCGGAGCUUAACUCCGAAACUGCAUUCGAUACUGGCGUGCUCGAGGACUGGAGAGGAGACUGGAAUUUACGGUGUAGCGGUGAAAUGCGUAGAUAUCGUAAGGAAGACCAGUGGCGAAGGCGGGUCUCUGGACAGUUCCUGACGCUGAGGCACGAAGGUCAGGGGAGCAAACGGG
rnacentral:rRNA from 1 species